AGGAACUGAUCAACAAAAUAACUGAUCUAAGUCUACAGGCUACAAUGAUUUGCAAUUUGGAUUCGUUGCUGUUCUUAUUAGAGGUCCAAAAGGCAUAUGAACGAAGGCAUCAACAAUGGUGACAAUCCAACAAAUCGACCACGCGUUCGACCGUCAUCGUAUGCUCGAUAAUGGAUGUUUUGGAUCCAACAAUUGUAAAUAAAUUUACCACCGAAGCCCAAGCCGAAAAAAACACCAAAGCCGGAGCCAGAGCAACCAUCAAAGACUAAAUGGAAACCCUGUGGACCAGCAAAAGAAGUGCCACCAAUCGAUCCAGAAUUCAAGGCAAUUGUGGAAGGUCUUGAUGAAUAUAUGAGAGACUGAGAGCAAAAACAGCACAUCGCAUCUCAUCUCUUGCUUUCACUUCGUAUGUUCGCUGGUAUAGUGUGUUACCGUUGAUCCCGUUGUAUUUUACGAGUCAUCAAAAUGCCAGCUAGUGACCCAAAUAAACUUUAUCGGAGCUGAAUGUGUUCCCGGGAAUCGACCUGCAUGAUCUCACGACCAAUACAAAAAAUUGGUUUAAAGCUGUGCCGAUGUAUCUAUCUAUGCAACGCGAGAUAGAAGAAUUUAAUUUACUGCGAGCAUAUUAAGAGCCACCAAAGAAACGCAAAAAGAGAAAGCGCAGAAGACCGAAGGGUAAGAAACGAAAGUGGUUCAUCAAACGAAAACAAA